AAAAAAAAACAUUUUAUUUUCAGAAAACUGUUUUCAUCAGAAAUCCUGAGAUGAAUAUUUUGGCUCAGAUUUCUCAGAUUAGAGGAGAAGCUCAAGAUCUUGGUUUAAUCACUCCUCCCAGUCUAAACUUACACCUGGAGACUUUCAAAUCUGUCCAUCUUGCUCUAGGAUGAUUUUGGAGUCCAGAAGCCACUUUUGGGGGAGUACCUGGAGUGGUAUUUACUAGGGUUGGGUAUACAGGAGGAGAUAAGGAUAAUCCAACCUACUACAGUUUGGGAAACCAUACGGAAACUGUGGAAGUCUGGUUCGACGAAUCUAUAGGAAGC